AUCGCUUCUCGGCCUUUUGGCUAAGAUCAAGUGUAGUAUAUGUCUAUUUGGUUAGGCUAUAAUUAUCUAAUCAAACACUAAUCUAGGAGUUGCUCUGGGGUAUUUUGUAGUAAUCAAAACUUCUACAACAAGUUGACUUGAAGCAAAUUGU
rnacentral:snRNA from 1 species